AGCUUUGCAUAGUGACAGUAUCAUAGCCAAUGAGGUUCAUCUGAGGUAUGAUUAUUGGCAAUUGAAAAUUUUUCCCAUAUCAUAUGCCAACAGAGAAAUGCAAAUCAAAACAAUGA
rnacentral:snRNA from 1 species